rnacentral:rRNA from 1 species
GAUGAACGCUGACAGAAUGCUUAACACAUGCAAGUCAUUGGCGAAGCUGCGCUUGCGCAGUCUAGCCAAGGCGGACGGGUGAGUAACGCGUAAGGAACUUGCCCUGCAGACAGGGAUAACAGACGGAAACGACUGAUAACACCUGGUAUUGUCAGGCUGGCGCAUGCCGGCCUGAUGAAAGGAGACGCUGCAGGAGAGCCUUGCGUCCUAUUAGCUAGUUGGUGGGGUAACGGCCCACCAAGGCGAUGAUAGGUAGCCGGCCUGAGAGGGUGAACGGCCACAAGGGGACUGAGAUACGGCCCUUACUCCUACGGGAGGCAGCAGUGGGGAAUAUUGGACAAUGGGGGCAACCCUGAUCCAGCAAUUCUGUGUGCACGAAGAAGGUUUUCGGAUGGUAAAGUGCUUUCAGCAGGGAAGAAGAAAGUGACGGUACCUGAAGAAGAAGCGACGGCUAAAUACGU